GCAGAGUAGGGAUCAGCGUGUUGAGUGCCGGCGGGACGGGGAGUUGUCCGCCGGACGAAGUGCGUAGACACGCCGCAGUGCUGAUCCCGCAUCCCGCUGC
rnacentral:ncRNA from 1 species